rnacentral:misc_RNA from 1 species
GAUGAAGAACGUAGCGAAAUGCGAUAAGUAAUGUGAAUUGCAGAAUUCAGUGAAUCAUCGAAUCUUUGAACGCAUCUUGCGCUCCUUGGUAUUCUGAGGAGCAUGCCUGUUUGAGUGUCAUUAAAUUCUCAACUACACUGACUUUGAAUUGGUGUGGCUUGGAUUUGGGGGGAAAAUUGUUGUGGGCUUUUUGUAUAGUCUGCUCCCCUGAAAUUGAUUAGCGGUACCUUUGUGGAACUGUCUACAGGUGUGAUAAUUAUCUACAUCUGCUGGAAUGCUGCUUUCUAAACCUUACUUGUAUUGACAAUCUUGACCUCAAAUCAGGUAGGACUACCCGCUGAACUUAAGCAUAUCAAUAAGCGAGGA